AGAGUUUGAUCAUGGCUCAGAUUGAACGCUGGCGGUAGGCUUAACACAUGCAAGUGUGCGAGAAAGUAUCUUCGGAUAUGAGUAGAGCGGCGGACGGGUGAGUAACGCGUAGGAAUCUACCUAGUAGAAGGGGAUAGCCCGGGGAAACUCGGAUUAAUACCGUAUACCUCCUUCGGGAGAAAGAAGGCCUCUCUUUGAAGCUUUCGCUAUUAGAUGAGCCUGCGUAAGAUUAGCUUGCUGGU
rnacentral:rRNA from 1 species